AUUGAACGCUGGCGGCAGGCCUAACACAUGCAAGUCGAACGAGUGGCGGACGGGUGAGUAAUGUCUGGGAAACUGCCCGAUGGAGGGGGAUAACUACUGGAAACGGUAGCUAAUACCGCAUACCAUCGGAUGUGCCCAGAUGGGCUUAGCUAGUAGGUGGGGUAACGGGUCACCUAGGCGACGAUCCCUAGCUGGUCUGAGAGGAUGACAAGCCACACUGGAACUGAGACACGGUCCAGAGGCCCACGGGAGGAAGGAGUGGGGAAUAUUGCACAAUGGGCGCAAGGCUGAUGCAGUCAUGCCGCGUGUAUGAAGAAGGGCUUCGGGUUGUAAAGUGCUUUCAGCGAGGAGGCGUUACUCGCAGAAGAAGCACCGGCUAACUCCGUGCCAGCAGCCGCGGUAAUAC
rnacentral:rRNA from 1 species